UGGGAAGAGAGGAAGUUUCCUGAGAGUUCUCUAGUUGAUCUAAGAAUCAAGAAUUACUUCAAGAUUAUCUAUUUCGGGACAUCAGAACACUAACCACAGAAAGAGAUGAGAAGGGGGCUAGGAAGCUCCGACUACGGUCCUACAAACACCGAUCCGAACGAGGUGGAAUACGUCGACCGUUAGGGCUGUCACUACCCUAAGGCUACCACAACAAUCCACAGGAUUGGGUGCAAUUCCAGGUAAUUGCAAGACUAAACACCACGUCUAAUCUAUUAAUUACUACUCUAAUGUUUCAAAAAUUAGAGCACUUGAUGCAAGCGGGAAUCCAAUAAAUAACUUGAAUGUAAAUAAAAGUAAUUAGAGAACUCAGGAAUUAUGAAUUGAAGAACCUGGAGAACGAUGAAGAACGAACCAGAUGCUGCAAAAGUAUAAUGUUGAGGAAGAUCCGACAGAUCCGGCUCCUCCUCCGCUCUCCUCUUCUCUCUCCCUAUUUUCUAAAUUACAACUAGAACUAACUAGAACUAGAACUAGAGGAACUAGAACUAGAACUAGAACUAGAUGAACUAGAACUAGAUCUAGAUGAACUAGAGGUAGAACUAGAAGAACUAGAGGGAUCCUCUCUACUUGGAUGAAGAAUUGAAACCCUAGCUUUGAUUCUGUAGAAGAGGUAUGAUCUCCCGGGGCCAGGGGGCCUUGCUUAUAUAGUCUUUUCAGAUGAAUCUGGGCCGUUGGAUCAAACCGACAUUGAUCGUGUGGUUUUCCUUGAAGUAUUAGGUCGGUGGAGCAUGAUCCCCGAACUUCACCCUGAUUGGUCCAGGGGGAGGGCGGGUGCCCAGUAAGGGAGGGCGGGCUCCGUUAUGUCUCCCGUUCGCUCCGUUAUGUCUCCAGGAAGUUCGGGCGCCCAGUAAGGAAGUUCGGGCGCCCAGUAAGGGAGGGCGGGCUUUAGUGCCCGGCUCCGUUAUGUCUCCCGUUCGCUCCCGUGGCUUCUGGACUCUUCUAGAUGGUAGAUAAUUGUACGGCAUGAUAAUAUCUCUAUGUAAACCCGACGUGUGGGCCUUUCUUCCGUAUUUCCUAAUAACCCCCUGCAGAAAUAGACAAACACCAAAACUUGUGGAAUUCUGUCAGAUAAAACCCUAAGUAUAGGUGUUGGUUGCAUUUGGAUCCUUUUCUAUGAUUAGUUGAUGGUUAAAUGUGAGCAUUAAGGACCGUCAACAAGCUCCCCUAAGCUUAACCUUUGCUCGUCCCUGAGCAAAGAUGGACUCAAGUGUUUCUGCAGUAGUUUUAUGCCUUAAAAAUACACAUUCGUUCAAACAAGAUCUCAUCUCUAGGUUAGGGUAAUCUGUUAAUAUUUAAAACUUACUCAUUUUACAUUUCACCAUGGGACUUGUAACCGUCACUUCUGUCUUGAGUAGUUAAAAGAUAGAACGGUCUAGUCAAGCACCAUGUCUCUUGUUCUUCGAUUAACUAUAGCUCUGGAGUUUUUGCAGAUUUUCAAAUAAAACUCAGAGAUUCCUUGUAUGACUCUCUUUAGUCUCUCUUUUGUGGUAUUUCUGGAUCCUUACCAAGGCAGUAAUGGUGUAUGCCUUCUCUCAAAGUAUGUGGUAUUUGUGGUAUAAGGCAUAGUGGCAUUGCCUUCUCUCUCACCCUACUCUAAUAAUUUUUUGAUAUCUGGAGCUCAUAGGUGGGAGACAGCUAAUACAUACUUACAAGACAUUUAUUGCAUAGUCAAACCAUGGAUCCAGAAGAACAAGUCAAUAAGUCAAAUCAAGAUGUGCAUGUGUGGCGAAUGAAUGGUGUAUGGUGAUGAUGGUGAGAACAAUAGUGAAAGUCUAAUUCUACUUGUGCUCUUUUGAGGGGAUACAUACCUUUCUUGCUCUUUUGAAACUUUUUGAGGAGAAUGAGAUGCUCUGUAUUUUCUUUUUCUUUUCUCUCAGGUGGGUAUCUUGUACCCCUAAUUCUACUGUCGGACACUUGUCCAUUUUUACCUCUCGUCUCACUUUUUAUUUUCUUUCGAGGUUCCAGGCACUUGCCCCUUUUUAUUUCCUCGUAUUCUUUUUUUUCUUUCUUUUUUUAGAGCACUCAUCUCCUGAAAUAAUAUAGCAAGUGGUAGUAACCAAGAUAACUUGAGCAUUUAUUUCACAGGGAAAAACAUAAAUAGGAGAAUGUUUUUGGCUAUUCUCUCCCAGAUUAGGAGUAGAAUAUUUUUGGGUGGUUCUGGAGAUGGAAAUGGAUGGAUAUAUGUGGAUGGUACUUCUGGAGUAGAAGUAGCAUGUGUGAGUGAACGUGCAAGUGAAUCUUGAUUUAACCACAUGACAAGCUCCUAAGGGUCUACACAGCUUGACCACACUCAAUGCUCAUAAGCAGUAAAAAGUAAAUGUGUGGUUCAUAGUCUAACAAGCAUGUAUAUAUGGCUGUGGUAGGAAUUUAAACUCUCAUCAUACAGGAACUCAUCAUGCAACAUUUUAAAGAUUUUCAAAGAUAAAAUUCUCUAGAAUUCUAGCAUCUCUAGGAACAGAUAAACAGCAGCUCAACCUUCCCAUAUGAUAUCCGUUAACGACAUAGACUUCAGAUCAAGUACUCUUCCCAUAAGUUUAGGUUUAGAGCAAAUCUUAAUUAAUAACAGUCAUGCCUAAACUUGAGAGAGAUUUCAAUUUUGAGAACUAGUCAUGGCAGAGCAACUAUUCAUCAUUUCCAUAUGAGAGCUUAUCUUGAGGGUUCAUAGCAGACUUUAUUUAUUUAUUUAUUUAGCAAACUAAGCAAAGAUAUAUAUAAGCACAAAAUCUUUUUUUUGGGUUUCUAUGAUUAUGCAUCUUUUUAUUAUUAGAGUAAAGUAUAAACGUGAGUAGAAUACUUAGCUAGAUAAAUGGGGGUGCUCUCCCCCAAGCUGGAUUUUGACGUAGUUUCUUCUGAUGUAGCUAGCAGGUGGCGGAGGUGUAUUUGAAUGUCGGCAGCACCCUGACAGCGAUUAGGAUAUCCUCCGUCUGCUAGUCUUCUUUGAUCCUUGAAUUCUGUGGAGCUCAAAUAGACAACAAAGCUUUGUGGAACUGGUUAAGUGUUAGCAUAAAUAUCUAGCCUUUAUCAUGUUGAGCCUCCUCAAUAAAUGUUACUCAUUAGUAGGAUCAUAAUUUUAUUUUUAUAAUUUUAUUUUUAUAGGACAGGAAUAUAUUUAUUUCAUUUUUAUGCCACCACAGUGAAUGUACUUAUGGGUUUUAUGCCAUGAGCAUACUCACAUGGGGCUUACUAUCUUCAACAUUUUUAUUCUUUUCAAGAUGAUGUGAACCUGAUUAACUAAGCAAACUAUUUUAAAUAAUUGAAAGAAAAAAGAUAACUACCAAGUUUACCUCUUGGCAAGGCGUUCGGUGUUUUUAAGUCCUCCGAACGGGACUCUCCGUUUCCUGAGUCAUUCUGGGAUUCGCUGGAUGGCGUAGUCGGUGGUUCCGACGGUGCUUCCUCUUCGUGUAUAACUAUCUUCUCUUUCCACACCUGACUCGGUGCUACGGUCUCCUCAGGACAGUUCUGUUCAAGUUGUAUGUCUUCAGACCUUACAACUUCUCGUUCAUAGUCUACCCAUCUGUCCUUGAUGAUUUGCCUCCUCUGGUUGCGGUUGCGUCGUCGUCUUCUUGUCCUGACCUGCUUAGAGUCUUCAACUAUAUAGUUAGGGUCAGUAAAACAGUAGCGUACCUUCUCUGAGGGGAAGUGCAUGUGGACUUCUCUGGUUCCAAUGUAUAUGAUUGCUUUAAUGGUGCUAAAGAACGGUCUUCCAAGGAUGAUGGGUGGAUCGUACUCGUCUUCUCCCAUGUCAAUAACCUUCAAUCUUUCAGAAUGUCUGAUCUGCAAUCUGGAGCUGAAUGUAUGUUGGUUGUAGGGACAUGGUUCCAUGCAGUAGCUGAUAAGUGACUGCGGCCAUUAUGUUGACGUUAGAUCCGGUGUCGUAGAGUGUCUUCUCAAAAGAAUAUCCGUUGAUUGUGCACUUGAUGCUUGGGACACCAGGGUCAUCCUUCUUGAUCAAGAAAGGUGACUUGAGUUGACGAUCUUGACCUCCUCGAGCUGCAGUGACCAUCUUAGCUGACUCGGUACAUAUUUGCUUGUUCUUGUUCCUCCUGUUGGUCCUCUUCCUUGGUUCAUGUCGGGAUUGCUCUGGGAUUUGUGUAGUCUUGUUUCUUGAAGGAAAACGUCUCCUUCUUCCCCUUGAUGUAGAAACUGAUCUUGGCAGCACUAGCGUAGAUGACAGCUCCCGAGGUGUUCAGGAAUGGCUUCCCCUAGGUAUAAUGUUGACGCUGGAGCCAAAGUCGCAGAGUGCUUCUAGGAAGUCCACCAUGCCGAUGGAGAUUGGGAUGACGGGGCGUCCUAGAUUGUCUCUCUUGACCGGCAAAAGGUCAGUAAUUACUUCCAAAACGGGGUUACUCCAGUAGUUACAUCCUCAAGCAUCUCAGGACAGUGUUUGCAUGAGUGUCCAGUAUCUCCAGCGUGUUUGUGCUCAUAGAUCUAGGUUCUUCACUUUGGUGGAGUCUGGGAGUUGUAAAACUCCUUCAUAUUUUGCUCAAAGUGUACCUACUCAUAGAGACAAGGCAGAGAUCAAGUGCAUGGGCCCUGUUGGUGAAAAACACCAACAGAACCAAACGUGUAUUUGUUCUUCUCUAACCUCAAGCAUAGUGAGCAAGACAAAGUUGAUGGAUAAUAAAAUCAUGAGUGUAGUAUUUAACAUUUGUCAGAUUAGAUUGCUCAACCUUAUGGAAAGAUAAUCUAUCUAUAUAUAUGUUUUGUUUAUAUCUUCCAAAGAUUGAGUGUGCAACAUUUUAGCUUAUAUGAUUAGGAGUAUGGGAUCACAAAGGUGGAAGGACUAAACAUGUUGAAUCGAUUAGGUUGGUUAAUCUAGAGUUGUAAAUCAUACAUGUUUGUCUCUUUUAUUCAUAUGAACACCAGAACAAAGGAGAAGCUUAUAGAAGUGAUAGUCAAGUACCUUAAGAUGUUACCUUACUUGAAGAGUGAUGGUACAGUAUCACCUUGUGGAAGCUUUCCUCUCUUAGCGGUUGUGCAUUGUGUUUGUGGCACCCUCCAUGGAUCAUCUCUUGUGAGCUAUGCCUUCCUUGUGUAAAUUGUUAAACUUCAUGUGUGUCUCUCUUUGUCUCCAAUGUGAGUUUAUCUUAGGACUUCCCAGGUCGAUAUUGAAAGUUUUCCUGCAGGGGUUAGUCCAACAAAAUAUAUCAAUGUCUACACAAGCAGUUUUUAGUUCAAUAACCAAACUAGACUCCAUGUCUAAUUAGAUUAAGGAAGGUUGUUUAACCUAAGCACCAUGCUUAAUUUAAAAACCAAUAGAAGUAUGUACAGUACUUCCAAACUAACACUUACUAGGAUAAACAAAGGUAGUGUGAUGGCUUUUAUAGAGAUCUACUCAAGUGGAGAUGAAGUAGUGUGAUUACUAUUUAACAAAUUGAGAAUGUCUCAAAGGUAGGGACAACCAACAUAGCAACAUGGCAAAUGAUGUUUUUAUAUAAAGUACUCCCCCAAGCUUGAAUUUUGCAAAAUUCAAGUUUGGAUGAAUUUAAUUCAAUGUUGUAUGAUGAUUGGUUGUACAUACCUUGUGCUUGUCAUUCAUCCGAUCUUCUUGCUCCAAUCCUAGAAAGGUUUGUGACAAGAAUACCCGAAGGAAUUUUUUUUACAAUUAUCCUUAUAUGCUCAAUAGACAAGGUAGUGUUGCAAAUAAUUAAAAGCUUAUGUUACAAUCUGAUCAGUGCUUGUUUUAGGACACUAAGCUUGUCCUUGGGAAACCAUCAAUUUAUAUCGGCGAAGUGGUUUUCCCUCCAACGCUGACCUAUAUCGAGAUUAACUCAACAAGAUCUGCAAUAUUUAAUAUAGACUUAUGCAUCGACAACCGCCCUUUUAAAGUUUUUAUGAAUAGAAAGGAAGAGGGGAUUGGAGAUCUCGAAUGUGGUGAUGUUGGAGAGACCAAUGGAUUGUGAAGAUGUUGCAUAUGAGCAUGGAGUAAAUGAAGUGGCUAUGAAAUAAAUUCCAUGCUCAUUAAUGCUUAGAGUGAAAUCCAUGUGGUAUGGUGAAAGUGAUAAGGCGAGUGUGGUAAAAAAGGAAAAGAAAAAGGAUACACGGACGACUUGGUUCGAAACUAGUACAGCUACCGUUCCCCGGCAACGGCGCCAGAAAGCUUGUUGGGUAUUUUAAACGCAAACAGAAAAAUCCACAAGCGCAUGGAUACUGAUGUAGCUUUCACCCGGGAGUAUUCCAUAGUAUCGAUUUUCUACAGAGAACGUGAGUGUACUAAUUAAGAUCCAAGAUCGCCCAAGGAUAACUACAUAAUUAUUUUGGUGGGAAGAGAGGAAGUUUCCUAAGAGUUCUCUAGUUGAUCUAAGAAUCAAGAAUUACUUUAAGAUUAUCUAUUUCGGGACAUCAGAACACUAACCAUAGAAAGAGAUGAGAAGGGGGCUAGGAAUCUCCGACUACGGUCCUACAAACACUGAUCCGAACGAGGUGGAAUACGUCGACCGUUAGGGCUGUCACUACCCUAAGGCUACCACAACAAUCCGCAAGAUUGGGUGCAAUUCCAGGUAAUUGCAAGACUAAACACCACGUCUAAUCUAUUAAUUACUAAUCUAAUGUUUCAAAGAUUAGAGCACUUGAUGCAAGCGGGAAUCAAUAAAUAACUUGAAUGUAAAUGAAAGUAAUUAGAGAACUCAGGAAUUAUGAAUUGAAGAACCUGGAUAACGAUGAAGAACGAACCAGAUGCUGCAAAAGUAUAAUGUUGAGGAAGAUCCGACAGAUCCGGCUCCUCCUCCGCUCUCCUCUUCUCUCUCCCUAUUUUCUAAAUUACAACUAGAACUAACUAGAACUAGAACUAGAGGAACUAGAACUAGAACUAGAUGAACUAGAACUAGAUCUAGAUGAACUAGAGGUAGAACUAGAAGAACUAGAGGGAUCCUCUCUACUUGGAUGAAGAAUUGAAACCCUAGCUUUGAUUCUGUAGAAGAGGUAUGAUCUCCCGGGGCCAGGGGGCCUUGCUUAUAUAGUCUUUUCAGAUGAAUCUGGGCCGUUGGAUCAAACCGACAUUGAUCGUGUGGUUUUCCUUGAAGUAUUAGGUCGGUGGAGCAUGAUCCCCGAACUUCACCCUGAUUGGUCCAGGGGGAGGGCGGGCGCCCAGUAAGGGAGGGCGGGCGCCCAGUGCCCGGCUCCGUUAUGUCUCCCGUUCGCUCCCGUGGCUUCUGGACUCUUCUAGAUGGUAGAUAAUUGUACGGCAUGAUAAUAUCUCUAUGUAAACCCGACGUGUGGGCCUUUCUUCCGUAUUUCCUAAUAACCCCCUGCAGAAAUAGACAAACACCAAAACUUGUGGAAUUCUGUCAGAUAAAACCCUAAGUAUAGGUGUUGGUUGCAUUUGGAUCCUUUUCUAUGAUUAGUUGAUGGUUAAAUGUGAGCAUUAAGGACUGUCAACAAGCUCCCCUAAGCUUAACCUUUGCUCGUCCCUGAGCAAAGAUGGACUCAAGUGUUUCUGUAGUGGUUUUAUGCCUUAAAAAUACAAAUUCGUUCAAACAAGAUCUCAUCUCUAGGUUAGGGUAAUCUGUUAAUAUUUAAAACUUACUCAUUUUACCUUUCACCAUGGGACUUGUAACCGUCACUUCUGUCUUGAGUAAUUAAAAGAUAGAACGGUCUAGUCAAGCACCAUGUCUCUUGUUCUUCGAUUAACUAUAGCUCUGGAGUUUUUGCAGAUUUUCAAAUAAAACUCAGAGAUUCCUUGUAUGACUCUCUUUAGUCUCUCUUUUGUGGUAUUUCUGGAUCCUUACCAAGGCAGUAAUGGUGUAUGCCUUCUCUCAAAGUAUGUGGUAUUUGUGGUAUAAGACAUAGUGGCAUUGCCUUCUCUCUCACCCUACUCUAAUAAUUUUUUGAUAUCUGGAGCUCAUUGGUGGGAGACAGCUAAUACAUACUUACAAGACAUUUAUUGCAUAGUCAAACCAUGGAUCCAGAAGAACAAGUCAAUAAGUCAAAUCAAGAUGUGCAUGUGUGGCGAAUGAAUGGUGUAUGGUGAUGAUGGUGAGAACAAUAGUGAAAGUCUGAUUCUACUUGUGCUCUUUUGAGGGGAUACAUACCUUUCUUGCUCUUUUGAAACUUUUUGAGGAGAAUGAGAUGCUCUGUAUUUUCUUUUUCUUUUCUCUCAGGUGGGUAUCUUGUACCCCUAAUUCUACUGUCGGACACUUGUCCAUUUUUACCUCUCGUCUCACUUUUUAUUUUCUUUCGAGGUUCCGGGCACUUGCCCCUUUUUAUUUCCUCGUAUUCUUUUUUUUCUUUCUUUUUUUAGAGCACUCAUCUCCUGAAAUAAUAUAGCAAGUGGUAGUAACCAAGAUAACUUGAGCAUUUAUUUCACAGGGAAAAACAUAAAUAGGAGAAUGUUUUUGGCUAUUCUCUCCCAGAUUAGGAGUAGAAUAUUUUUGGGUGGUUCUGGAGAUGGAAAUGGAUGGAUAUAUGUGGAUGGUACUUCUAGAGUAGAAGUAGCAUGUGUGAGUGAACGUGCAAGUGAAUCUUGAUUUAACCACAUGACAAGCUCCUAAGGGUCUACACAGCUUGACCACACUCAAUGCUCAUAAGCAGUAAAAAGUAAAUGUGUGGUUCAUAGUCUAACAAGCAUGUAUAUAUGGCUGUGGUAGGAAUUUAAACUCUCAUCAUACAGGAACUCAUCAUGCAACAUUUUAAAGAUUUUCAAAGAUAAAAUUCUCUAGAAUUCUAGCAUCUCUAGGAACAGAUAAACAGCAGCUCAACCUUCCCAUAUGAUAUCCGUUAACGACUUAGACUUCAGAUCAAGUACUCUUCCCACAAGUUUAGGUUUAGAGCAAAUCUUAAUUAAUAACAGUCAUGCCUAAACUUGAGAGAGAUUUCAAUUUUGAGAACUAGUCAUGGCAGAGCAACUAUUCAUCAUUUCCAUAUGAGAGCUUAUCUUGAGGGUUCAUAGCAGACUUUAUUUAUUUAUUUAUUUAGCAAACUAAGCAAAGAUAUAUAUAAGCACAAAAUCUUUUUUUUGGGUUUCUAUGAUUAUGCAUCUUUUUAUUAUUAGAGUAAAGUAUAAACGUGAGUAGAAUACUUAGCUAGAUAAAUGGGGGUGCUCUCCCCCAAGCUGGAUUUUGACGUAGUUUCUUCUGAUGUAGCUAGCAGGUGGCGGAGGUGUAUUUGAAUGUCGGCAGCACCCUGACAGCGAUUAGGAUAUCCUCCGUCUGCUAGUCUUCUUUGAUCCUUGAAUUCUGUGGAGCUCAAAUAGACAACAAAGCUUUGUGGAACUGGUUAAGUGUUAGCAUAAAUAUCUAGCCUUUAUCAUGUUGAGCCUCCUCAAUAAAUGUUACUCAUUAGUAGGAUCAUAAUAUCCGUUACGUCUCCCGUUCGCUCCCGUGGCUUCUGGACUCUUCUAGAUGGUAGAUAAUUGUACGGCACGAUAAUAUCUCUAUGUAAACCCGACGUGUGGGCCUUUCUUCCGUAUUUCCUAAUAACCCCCUGCAGAAAUAGACAAACACCAAAACUUGUGGAAUUCUGUCAUAUAAAACCCUAAGUAUAGGUGUUGGUUGCAUUUGGAUCCUUUUCUAUGAUUAGUUGAUGGUUAAAUGUGAGCAUUAAGGACCGUCAACAAGCGAUCGCAUUUCGACAAAGUUUGGGUGCCCAAAGGGGCACCGGACGCUGCACCAGACGCUCUGUGAGUGCGUCUGGUGAGGUCCUUAACCGUUGGAACAGUGCCGU
rnacentral:lncRNA from 1 species